GGGUGUUGCUGAAGGACACCUGGGACCAGGCCUCUGAAGAUGGGGCAGUCCCAGCUCAGGGGCCAGCCAGCUGUGUUUGGAAAGGCCACAGCAGCCCAGCUGUUACGUCUGGCUUGAUCUCAGGGAGCGUCGUCACGGGUGACUGAGAACCGGGGCUUGAACAGCACGUUAAGGAAAUCCUCCGCCGAGUCCAAACGAGACGCGUUGCAGUGGGGGCCGGGGGAACAAGAGGGCAGCUGCACGGCGUGUCGCUUCCAUUUGCAAUGAGAUGAAACCACGGUGAUGGGCGCAGGAGAAGAACCAACUGGACUAGAAACAGAAUCCUCUCCACAGUAACGUGAAAGGACACAGCAUUAACCCAGAACAACAGAGACCUUUCCUGCCAGCUUUCCAUUGGGUCUGCUGACCAGGAGAAAAGGGAGCAAUGGAGGAGGAUAAGGAAAGAGAAACUGAGUGACUUCUCUGCCUCAAUCUUCACUACAAGGGACAGUGAGG